UCAUUGGCUGGUUCGAAGACCACAAAACGUUUGCCAAAGUUGCGUGGUUCAAAAUCAACAAGCCAAAAGCAUUUUUUGUCACGACGGUCACUGAUUCGGCAGCUUAGAGUCGUUUCAGUAACUUUUACGUGCAAUGACAGUC